UCAAGUUAAUAACUAUCGGCGUUAAGCGUGAUUAAAGUCUCCUAAAAUUAGGGUUAAAUUAAUACUUAGUAGUGAUAAGCUUGUUAUUAAGAAAAACAUAAACGAAAGUUACCCUAAUAAUAUUCUUGAAUACACGACAGCUAGGAAUACAAACUGGGAUUAGAUACCCCACUAUGCCUAGCCGUAAACAAUUAACUUACACUAAAAAGCGCCAGGGAAUUACGAGCAAUGCUUAAAACCCAAAGGAUUUGACGGUGUCCCACCCACCUAGAGGAGCCUGUUUUAUAAUCGAUGAUCCCCGCUAUACCUAACCAUUCCUAGCUUUUCAGUCUGUAUACCUCCGUCGAAAGCCUACCAUGUGAACGUUUUUAGUAGGCCAAAUGACCCCAUCAAUACGUCAGGUCAAGGUGCAGCUCACGGAAUGGAAAGUAAUGGGCUACAAUUUCUAAUCUAGAACAAACGAAAUACUGCAUGAAACUGCAGUCACGAAGGCGGAUUUAGUAGUAAAAAGAAAAUAGAGAGUUCUUUUUAACCUGGCUCUGGGACGCGUACACACCGCCCGUCACCCUCUUCGAUAACAAUUUUUUUAGUUCUUAACCCCUAUUUCUUCCCUAGAAGAGGCAAGUCGUAACAUGGUAAGUGUACUGGAAAGUGCACUUGGACUACA
rnacentral:rRNA from 1 species